rnacentral:rRNA from 1 species
UACGUAGGGUGCAAGCGUUGUCCGGAAUUAUUGGGCGUAAAGAGCUCGUAGGCGGUCUGUCACGUUGGCUGUGAAACCCGAGGCUCAACCUCGGGCCUGCAGUCGAUACGGGCAAACUAGAGUACUGCAGGGGAGACUGGAAUUCCUGGUGUAGCGGUGAAAUGCGCAGAUAUCAGGAGGAACACCGGUGGCGAAGGCGGGUCUCUGGGCAGUAACUGACGCUGGAGGAGCGAAAGCGUGGGGAGCGAACAGG